UACGUAGGGUGCGAGCGUUGUCCGGAAUUACUGGGCGUAAAGAGCUCGUAGGUGGUUUGUCGCGUUGUCCGUGAAAACUCACAGCUCAACUGUGGGCGUGCGGGCGAUACGGGCAGACUGGAGUACUGCAGGGGAGACUGGAAUUCCUGGUGUAGCGGUGGAAUGCGCAGAUAUCAGGAGGAACACCGGUGGCGAAGGCGGGUCUCUGGGCAGUAACUGACGCUGAGACGCGAAAGCGUGGGGAGCGAACAGG
rnacentral:rRNA from 1 species